UUUCCGUAGGUGAACCUGCGGAAGGAUCAUUCAUAGUAAAGUGUUUUAUGGCACUUUUUAAAAAUCCAUAUCCACCUUGUGUGCAAUGUUAGAUCUCGUCAAUCUUGGCGAGAUUUUUAUACAUCAACUCAUUCUUUAACUAAUUUGUCAGAAAAAUAUUAUGAAUACUUAAUUCAAAAUACAACUUUCAACAACGGAUCUCUUGGCUCUC
rnacentral:misc_RNA from 1 species